UGUACAUCGGUCUCGGGUGGAAUGUUUGUUGAUGUACACCUAUGAGUAGAAACGUAUCAAAAUUACUGUUGUGAUAUAUAUUUAUCGGAGUUAUGUUGAAAUCAAAAACUUUCGUAAAGAAAACCCGAUCAGGCGGGAUCAUGAAAAUAGUCCGUGAGCAUUACCUGCGAGACGAUAUUUGGUGCGGAAGUGAAGUUUGUACAGAAUGCAAGCAAGAAGAGACUGUGUUGCAGAAAGACGCUUGCAUUGAAAGCAACUUGUGUUCUUUCCCACACUAUUUACUCCCAGACACAAAUAUUGUGUUGAGCCAGAUUGAUAUCCUGGAGGAUCCCUUGAUCAAGAACGUGAUCAUUCUGCAGACUGUACUCCAAGAGGUCCGCCACAGGAGCGCUCCCAUCUACAAGCGGUUGAAAGACAUCCUUCACGACAAGGAAAAACACUUUUACACUUUCACUAAUGAACAUCACAGAGAAACGUAUAUAGAGAGAGAGCAGGGGGAAAGCGCCAACGAUCGUAAUGACAGAGCCAUCCGCAUAUCUACCAAGUGGUACAGUGAUCACCUGAACAACACCCCCACGGACAAGAGGUUAAAGGUUGUUUUGCUGACCAACGACCGGGGCAACAAGGAGAAAGCAGAGGAGUCCGGCCUGCUCACAUACAGAUGUGAGGAGUACGUCAAGAGUCUGAUAGCCAACCCUGAGCUGGUGGAUCGACUGGCUUUGACCAACGAUGACAAGAAUGAGAUCACCAGCAGUAAGGUGUUGUUCCCGGAGCACCUGCCCCUGUCUAGGAUCCAGUCUGGGAUUAAGAGUGGGACCUUCCAACAGGGAACGUUCCGGGCUAGCAGAGACAACUACCUGGAGGCUACUGUGUUCGUCCACGGAGAAGGAGAUGACAGUACAGAGGUUCUGAUCCAAGGCCUGCAGAACCUGAACAGGGCUGUCCAUCAGGACCUGGUUGCUGUGGAGAUCCUGCCUCUGAACCAAUGGGUGGCUCCGUCCUCUGUGGUGCUGCAGGACGAGGGGCCCAAGGAGGAUGAUGUCACAGAGGAGGAGGAGGCAGAGUUGAAGAGUGGUCCGUCUGGGGCGGCGUCACGGAAGCCCACAGGCAGGGUGGUGGGCAUCAUCAAGAGGAACUGGAGACCCUUCUGUGGCAUGCUCUUCCUGUCCCAAAUCAAAGAGGCGACCCGUCACCUCUUCACCCCAGCCGACCGCCGUAUCCCCAGGAUCCGUAUAGAGACGCGCCAGGCGGCCACGUUGGCAGGACAGAGGAUCAUGGUGGCCGUCGACGGCUGGCCCAAGCACUCCAGAUACCCGAAUGGCCAUUUUGUUCGUAGCCUGGGAAGUGCAGGGGACAAGGAGACGGAGACGGAGGUGCUACUGCUGGAGCAUGAUGUCCCUCACCAGGACUUCUCACAGGCCGUCCUCAGUUUCCUCCCCAAGAUGCCCUGGAACAUCACAGAGGAGGACAUGGCUGUGAGAGAGGACCUGAGGAACCUGACGGUCUGCAGUGUGGAUCCUCCUGGCUGUACGGACAUAGAUGAUGCUCUGCACUGUAGAGAGCUGCCCAAUGGAAACCAAGAGGUUGGUGUCCACAUUGCUGAUGUGAGCCACUUCAUUCGGCCAGGCAACGCUAUGGACCUGGAGGCUGCUAACAGAGGAACUACAGUCUACCUGACUGGAAGGAGGAUCGACAUGGUUCCUGAACUGCUGAGCUCCAACCUGUGUUCUCUACGAUCCAGUGUGGCGAGGCUGGCCUUCUCUUGUAUAUGGGAGAUCAACGACAAGGCUGAGAUAGUCCAGACCAGAUUCACUAAAAGUGUCAUCGACUCCAAGGCCUCGCUGACAUACGCCGAGGCCCAGAUGAGGAUUGAUGACGCCAACAUGAAUGAUGACACCACCAAGAGCUUACGAGGCCUGAACAGACUUGCCAAGAUCCUGAAGAAACGGAGGAUAGAGAAAGGUGCGUUGACUCUCUCCUCGCCUGAGGUUCGCUUCCACAUCGACAGUGAGACUCACGACCCCAUAGACCUACAGACCAAGGAACUCAAGGAGACCAACUCGAUGGUGGAGGAGUUCAUGUUGCUGGCCAACAUCUCAGUAGCUCAGAAGAUUUAUGAUGAGUUCUCAGAGUGCGCUCUUCUCAGGAAGCACCCCGCCCCUCCUCCAUCCAACUACGACAUCCUUAACAAGGCUGCCAAGUCUAAGAACCUUCAGACAUGGUGAUCCCCCACGGACUCGGCCAAGGCUCUAGCUGACUCUCUGGACUGGCCCACCCCCACGGCUUCCCUUCUGACUUCAACACCUUCCUCGUAUCCUAGCAACACGCUGCAUGAUGCAGGCUGUGUACUUCACCCCCCUCCGGGAUGGACAGUGACUUCCACCACUAUGGACUGGCCUCUCCCAUCUACACACACUUCACCUCACCUAUCAGACGAUACUCUGACAUCAUCGUGCAUCGGCUGCUGGCUGUAGCCAUUGGAGCAGACAGCACUUACCCAGACCUGAUGGACAAACACAAGCAGUCUGCCCUCUGCAACAACCUCAACUACAGACACAAGAUGGCCCAGUACGCACAGCGAGCCUCUGUAGCCUACCACACACAGCUGUUCUUCAAGAGCAGAGGCAUCCUGAACGAAGAGGGCUUCAUCCUGUUUGUGAGGAAGAACGCCAUCAUCGUCCUCAUCCCUAAGUUUGGUCUGGAGGGAACGGUGUUCUUUGAGAACAAAGAUAAACCCAGCCCCAAACUGAUCUUCAACGAAGAGGCUCCUAGUCUGACGGUGGAGGGCCACUCCUUCAACAUGUUUGACAAGGUCAAAGUGACCAUCAGUCUGGAUGCGUCCAACGUCCAGCACCAGAAGAUCAGGAUGUCCCUGGUUGAACCUGUGAUCUCUGGAGUGAGUGUGGCGCCGUCUGAACCAGAACCAGAGGUCAAGAGAGCUAAACUGGACCGUUGAACAACCCCAUCCUCAGACUGAAACUCUUCUCCUAGUUCAGUUUAGAGUUAUUUUAAAUGUCUAGCUUUUCUCUUCUACAUUACAAGCACAGAACAUCCUGUGGUUAAUAUGACUUUAAAACCUUCAGUCAGAACCUUUUUUUCCUUGACCUAUAGAAAGUCAUCCUUCCAGGUAAAUGUUAAUGGGAUGAUUUACUGUGGCAAGACAUAAUGACCCAUGGGGUUUGUACGGUCUAUUCUGGAAGGAAUGUUACCUUGUAAAACUCCCAAUAAAGCUCUUGGUUUUAGCCCAUGUUCCUUUUCUCA